GCCGAUUUAGCUCAGCUGGUAGAGCAACUGAUUUGUAAUCAGUAGGUCGUGGGUUCGACUCCUACAAUCGGCACCA
rnacentral:tRNA from 1 species